AGAACUAGCAAAAACAAGCCAACAAGGAUAUGACAAAGAAGCAAAAUUUAAAGGAUUUUUUUCAAAACCUAUUCCAAAACCAAUUUCUGUUGUUAAGCCUAUUCCUAUUCCACUAUAUAAGUCUAUACCAAAAUCAAUUCCCAUAGUGAAACCUAUCCCAAAGUCAAUUCCUAAUGAAGAAGAAAAAUUUAAAGGACUUUUUCCAAAGCCUAUUCCCAUAGUUAAGCCUAUUCCGAAGUCAAUUCCCAUUGUUAAGCCAAUACUAAAACCAAUUCCUGUUGUUAAACCUAUUCCUAUUCCAGUAUACAAGUCCAUACCAAAAUCUGUUCCUAUUGUUAAGCCUGUGCCAAAGUUAAUUCCGGUUGUUAAACCCAUAACAAAACCCAUUCCUACUUUUGAGCCAGAAUCUUUUCUAAAGCCGAAGCCUUUCUUUGAAAAACCUGUUCCUAAAUUGCCACUGGAGCCCAAAU
rnacentral:lncRNA from 1 species